GUAGCGAUCGCAAUAAAUUAAUUUAUAUAAUAAUAAUUUAUUUUUUAUUUAUUUAUUUUUAUUUAUUUAGAAAUUAAAUACUUUAUUAGUUGUAUCUGUAGUGAUAAAAGUUAACAAGGGUAUUCUUUUAUCGUCAGUGACGACGAUGAGGAUGUUACCAUCAAUGCUAUCAAAGAUAGUGUUUUCACUCUAAUUAAUUUUUUUUAUAUUCUUUUAUUUGUAAAUUUUACGUUGAUAAUAAUAGAAAAAUAUUACGCUUUUUUUUAAUAUUAUAAUGAACUUUUCUUUUAUUUUAAACUGGUUUAUUUAUUUUAGUUAUUUGGUUUAGAUAUUUUCAGAAAGAAAUAAACUUUAGUUUUAUUCUUUAAAUUUUAAUUGUUCAAUACUCGUGCGGGUUACUUAAUUAGUUAGAAUGAUGUUAGGAUGAUAGUGGUCUCUCUAGGGUAGAGUGAGUGGUUGCUCGAAUAGUGUGAUCUAACGGAUAGAAAUGGCCAAAGAUAUAAAUAUAACGGUGGAAAACAUGGUAGCACCGAAUGCUUGGUGCUAUUAGAACACCCCAGCCGGGCUUGUGUGUGUACAUCUAUAUGUAUGAUGUUAUAUUUAAAUUUAUAUUUUAAAAAUUUAGAUUUAAUAUAAUAUAUUUUAAAAUAUGAUAAACAGAAAUAAUUGUUUCGGUUCAGAUUUUUGGGUUCGGAUUCGGGUUUUGAAUUUUUGGUCGAGUUCGGAUUUGGAUAUGAAUUUUUAUACUUCGUCGAAUUUGGAUUCCGAUUUUAAAUUUGGUAGUCGAGUUGGGAUUCAAAUUUUCAAAAUUUACCCUGAACCUGAACUUUAUCAUAAUAAAAAAAAAAAGUUAAUUUCAUACAGGUCCCUACAAAUAUAGUGAAUUACAAAUAUAUCCCUACAAAAUUCAACUUUCAUGUAUUGUUCCUAUAAAAUUUCUAAUAUUUUCAAAUAUAUUCUUGCCGUUAAAAUUCGUUAACCAUAGGUUAAAUAAUUAACCCUGAUUAGUUUAUGAGAUAUCUUGACAUUGUUGUCCCUCCUAUAUUAUAUUGUUAUGCCUUUUAGAUGGAUAUAUUUUGUGAUGGCAAAAAUGACAUUUUAUUUAAAAUAUAAAUAGUUUUAUUACGAUAACAAACCAGAAGAAUAUAUUUAAAAAUAUUAAAAUUUUUAUAAAAACACAUAUAAG
rnacentral:lncRNA from 1 species